AAGCGAAGCGGGGUCGGGCCUGGUUAGUACUUGGAUGGGAGACCGCCUAGGAAGACCGGGUGCUGUAGGUG
rnacentral:rRNA from 1 species